AUACAGAGGGUGCGAGCGUUAAUCGGAAUUACUGGGCGUAAAGCGCGCGUAGGCGGUUAUUUAAGUCAGAUGUGAAAUCCCAGGGCUCAACCUUGGAACUGCAUCUGAUACUGGAUAACUAGAGUUUAGGAGAGGGAAGUAGAAUUUCAGGUGUAGCGGUGAAAUGCAUAGAGAUCUGAAGGAAUACCAGUGGCGAAGGCGACUUCCUGGCCUAAAACUGACGCUGAGGUGCGAAAGCGUGGGUAGCAAACGGGAUUAGAAACCCGGGUAGUCC
rnacentral:rRNA from 1 species